rnacentral:rRNA from 1 species
AUAAUGGGUCAGCGACUUAUAUUCUGUAGCAAGGUUAACCGUAUAGGGGAGCCGCAGGGAAACCGAGUCUUAACUGGGCGUUAAGUUGCAGGGUAUAGACCCGAAACCCGGUGAUCUAGCCAUGGGCAGGUUGAAGGUUGGGUAACACUAACUGGAGGACCGAACCGACUAAUGUUGAAAAAUUAGCGGAUGACUUGUGGCUGGGGGUGAAAGGCCAAUCAAACCGGGAGAUAGCUGGUUCUCCCCGAAAGCUAUUUAGGUAGCGCCUCGUGAACUCAUCUUCGGGGGUAGAGCACUGUUUCGGCUAGGGGGUCAUCCCGACUUACCAACCCGAUGCAAACUACGAAUACCGAAGAAUGUUAUCACGGGAGACACACGGCGGGUGCUAACGUCCGUCGUGAAGAGGGAAACAACCCAGACCGCCAGCUAAGGUCCCAAAGUCAUGGUUAAGUGGGAAACGAUGUGGGAAGGCCCAGACAGCCAGGAUGUUGGCUUAGAAGCAGCCAUCAUUUAAAGAAAGCGUAAUAGCUCACUGGUCGAGUCGGCCUGCGCGGAAGAUGUAACGGGGCUAAACCAUGCACCGAAGCUGCGGCAGCGACACUAUGUGUUGUUGGGUAGGGGAGCGUUCUGUAAGCCGUUGAAGGUGGCCUGUGAGGGUUGCUGGAGGUAUCAGAAGUGCGAAUGCUGACAUAAGUAACGAUAAUGCGGGUGAAAAACCCGCACGCCGGAAGACCAAGGGUUCCUGUCCAACGUUAAUCGGGGCAGGGUGAGUCGACCCCUAAGGCGAGGCCGAAAGGCGUAGUCGAUGGGAAACAGGUUAAUAUUCCUGUACUCGGUGUUACUGCGAAGGGGGGACGGAGAAGGCUAUGUUGGCCGGGCGACGGUUGUCCCGGUUUAAGCAUGUAGGCGGAUGUUCCAGGUAAAUCCGGAACGUCACUAACGCUGAGGUGUGAUGACGAGGCACUACGGUGCUGAAGUGACAAAUGCCCUGCUUCCAGGAAAAGCCUCUAAGCAUCAGGUAACAUCAAAUCGUACCCCAAACCGACACAGGUGGUCAGGUAGAGAAUACCAAGGCGCUUGAGAGAACUCGGGUGAAGGAACUAGGCAAAAUGGUGCCGUAACUUCG